rnacentral:rRNA from 1 species
UCUACGGGGGGCUGCAGUGGGGAAUAUUGCACAAUGGGCGCAAGCCUGAUGCAGCCAUGCCGCGUGUGUGAAGAAGGCCUUCGGGUUGUAAAGCACUUUCAGCGGGGAGGAAGGCGGUGAGGUUAAUAACCUCAUCGAUUGACGUUACCCGCAGAAGAAGCACCGGCUAACUCCGUGCCAGCAGCCGCGGUAAUACGGAGGGCGCAAGCGUUAAUCGGAAUUACUGGGCGUAAAGCGCACGCAGGCGGUCUGUCAAGUCGGAUGUGAAAUCCCCGGGCUCAACCUGGGAACUGCAUUCGAAACUGGCAGGCUAGAGUCUUGUAGAGGGGGGUAGAAUUCCAGGUGUAGCGGUGAAAGGCGUAGAGAUCUGGAGGAAUACCGGUGGCGAAGGCGGCCCCCUGGACAAAGACUGACGCUCAGGUGCGAAAGCGUGGGGAGCAAACAGGAUUAGAUACCCGAGUAGUC